CCCCCCCGGCGGCGAGAGCUCCCCGGCUCGCCAUCCUCCUCCACCCCCGUGCAGUGCAGUGCUCCUCUUUUUGCUAGGGUUUCUGCAUGUUGCAAGUGUAUCCUUCAAGUGUUUCAAAUGUUUUAGAAAAAUAUUACAAGUGGUCCAUGAUAUUGCAAUGAGUACCUUAUGAUGUUGCAGUGAGUUUUUUAUGUUGCAAGUGCUCCAAAUGUCCUGGGGUGUUUUAGACGAAAUCAUUUUUCCUUGUUUGCACGACUGAUUUUUCUGAGAUAUUUUGAUGUUGCAACAGUUGACUUUUGAUGUUUCAUAUGUUGAUUUUUCAUGUUGCAAUCAGUCCUGUUGCAUGCAACAUUAGCUAAUGAUGUGGAAGGAAUUUUUUGUUGUUGUGGUGGUACCGUCCGACGCUAGCUUCGCGGAUCGGACAUCUGGGCGCUAGCACCUCCAUUUCGGAAAUGCUAGACAAAGGACGUCCGGAACAGAUCCUACCAUCGGAUGCUACGUGGCUCCCUAUCCAACUUCCUCCCCCACCGGCUUGCUCCUCCGCCAGGCUGCCUGCGCAGCUCCCCCGCUGGCUGUGGGUGGCUGGCCCGCCCUGCACGGCGGCGGCCACAGUCUGCCGGCCCCGCCCCGUACCGCCCUAGCUACAGCGAGCCCCGGGCGGCGUCGCGCGACGGGUGGCGCGGUGGCGUCAGGAGGAACGGUGGCGAGCUCCACGGGGCUGCAGCUGGCGACGGCGGCGGCCAUGACGCAGGCGUGAUCAUGGAGUGCAGAGGUAGAAGACAGGCGAAGGAGCUUGACGGCACAUGUUGCAAUAGUAUGUUUCAAGUGUUUGUGAUGUUUUAGAAGAAUGUUGCCAGGGUUUCAUGUGAGUGUUAAAAGUAGAUCUAGAUGUUCUAAUUGGAUGUUGAAUCUUCAAUGUGUUUCAUGCAAUAUGAAA